UCAGGAGCUGAUUUUAUGAGCCCAGUUCUUGUAUCUCCUCGGAUCUAGAAAAGCACUAAAAUCCUUCAUGGUGACGACUGCUCCUCGUGACUAGCAGAAACCUGCUGCAGAAUAAUAUGUGCUCGAUUGCAUGGACUCCCCUCCCCCCUUCGCCCAAAUCACAUGUAUCCUGACCUUCCCCGCUGCCUCUUUGGAGCAGUUUCUCAGAGCUAACUGAAAUGCUGUCUCCCGGGUUGCAGUCCUCAUUUUGCCUCCCAAAAAACAACUUGCAACCCUCAUGUUGUGAUUUUCUUUUUUUUUUUUUUUUUUUUUUGCGGUACGCGGGCCUCUCACUGCUGUGGCCUCUCCCGUUGCGGAGCACAGGCUCCAGACGCGCAGGCUCUGCGGCCAUGGCUCACGGGCCCAGCCGCUCCGCGGCAUGUGGGAUCUUCCCGGACUGGGGCACGAACCCAUGUCCCCUGCAUCGGCAGGCGGGCUCUCAACCACUGCGCCACAAGGGAAGCCCUGUGAAUUUUUUUAGUUGACAGUUUUUAUGGCAACCACGAAGGGAUCCAGAAUGGACUUCUCUCCUUCACCGAAACUCUAUGAGGAACCAGAGCCUUGGUACCAGCAGAGGCCCCUUGUGCCCAUCUGCCACCUUGGAGAGUCCAGAUGAAUCUGGGCCCAUCCACGCUCCGCGCCCCGCCCCAGAUCCUACUCACUGCUCAGAGGGAUGUGGCCCCGGAGGCUUUAGGGCCCGGGGCCCAUGGUCCCCUGGGCAUACCCCUGCCCGCCCCUGCGGAGCUAAGCGCAGCUCAGCCGGGGCCCUGGCCGGCCUAAACUCAGUAUUUUAAUUAAAAAAUAAAAUAAGAUAAAA